rnacentral:rRNA from 1 species
UACGAAGGGGACUAGCGUUGUUCGGAAUCACUGGGCGUAAAGCGCACGUAGGCGGAUUUGUAAGUCAGGGGUGAAAUCCCGGGGCUCAACCUCGGAACUGCCUUUGAUACUGCGGAUCUCGAGUCCGAUAGAGGUGGGUGGAAUUCCUAGUGUAGAGGUGAAAUUCGUAGAUAUUCGCAAGAACACCAGUGGCGAAGGCGGCUCACUGGCCCGGUACUGACGCUGAGGUGCGAAAGCGUGGGGAGCAAACAGG